rnacentral:sRNA from 1 species
CACGUUUCCCGCCUCUCAGGCGCUGGGUGUUGUAGGAGCGCGCAGCCAUCGGAAGACUGUGUGAAAAAUGUGAUGGCAAGUGUGUGAUUUGUGACUCCUAUGUGCGUCCCUGCACUCUGGUGCGUAUAUGUGAUGAGUGUAACUAUGGAUCUUACCAGGGGCGCUGUGUGAUCUGUGGAGGACCUGGGGUCUCUGAUGCCUAUUAUUGUAAGGAGUGCACCAUCCAGGAGAAGGACAGAGAUGGCUGCCCAAAGAUUGUCAAUCUGGGGAGCUCUAAGACAGACCUCUUCUA